GGAAGCUACUCUGUCUUCAGCAAUCAGGGAGGACUGGUACAUCCCAAGACUUCAAUUGAAGACCAAGAUGAGCUGUCUUCUCUUCUUCAGGUCCCCCUUGUGGUAAGCAUUCCUUUCUCUGAUCUCUGUCUCCUCCUGAGGCAAAUCCUUUGCCUAGCAUUAAGGAUCUGAGUUAUUAUCUGUCACAGUUUGCGAUUGGGGAUGCAGGUCAAGGAGCGGGGUUUGGGGAUAGUCCUCGCCAGGGAGUGGCAGGACUGUGGCUUUUGGUGCCAUGAUCCACACUGAGCUCUCCCUUGGCAGGCAGGCACUGUGAACCGAGGCAGCGAGGUAAUUGCCGCUGGGAUGGUGGUGAAUGACUGGUGUGCCUUCUGUGGCCUGGACACAACCAGCACAGAGCUGUCAGUGGUGGAGAGUGUCUUCAAGCUGAACGAAGCCCAGCCUAGCACCAUUGCGACCAGCAUGCGGGAUUCCCUCAUUGACAGGUAUCUGGGUCUCUCUUCUGCCUUUGGAGGGUAGAGGAGGGAGAUGCCACCUAGGAUGGGUCCACACUGCAUUCAUACUGGUAGGUCCUUGUGUGUGAGGGCACACCUGUGCAUUGCUGAGCAGUCACAAGGUACAGCCAGUGAGCAUUGCCUGAGUGUCUGCUCAUCCCCAUCUUUGAAGACUCAGCUCAGUGUCCCCUCUCUGGGCAAAGCUUCCCUCUGGUCUGUCUUAUUUUCUCACUGACCACAUUGUUUUGUAGUUUGUGUGUGCUUGUGUGUCGGUGUCCCCAGCCAGCAGCCCAGAGCCUGAGACCAAAAAGAGCUGUUUGCAGAGGGAAGGAGGGGAAGUUGCUCUUAGAAACUAAGGAGACCCUAAAGGACUUGUUGGGGGUGGUGAUUGCAUCAAAAUCACAAUCGUCUGGAUUUUUGUGGGUUUAAGAAAAAAGUGGGAUCUUGGGCCUAACCCUGGAGGUUCUGGGGUAUGAGGCUCUGGAAUCUCUUUUUCCUUUGGAGGAGCAGCAGGUGCUGAUAUUUACCUUUUCCCAUUGAGGAUUCUUCUCAAGGCAUGCCACACCCAAGUAUCCCAGCAAUCUUUAUGAGGAUAGAAACCCCAUAUGCCCAUAGUAGAGCAAGUACCCAGUGACAGACCCCCUACUUUACAACAGGCAAAAUUACCCUUCAUUCUCCCUUCUUCAUUCAUUUGUUCAUCUGAUGUUCACUGAGCCCUGUCGAUAGGGCUCCAUGUAGGAUAGGCAGGCAACUUAGCCCUGUGUCCUGCCUCUAGGAGCUCACAGUGUAGCCGAGAAGUUGUAGAGGCCACACGUAACUCUUCACUGCCUUCAAAGAAGAGAUAAAAGGUGCCUUAGGUGGCUCAGGAAGCUCCAGUGAAACACUCUGGUAUCCCGGAAGGUUUUGUCGGGGGCAAAUCAUUUAGUCUGGGCCCAGGGGAAUGAGUAGACAUUUGAAUAUGCAGAGAUGGAGUAGGAAAGCACUUCAGACAGACCCAGAGGUGGGAAAGUAUGGAGAGUGUGAAAGGGCAAGGUAAUAUUGUCAGAGUGUCAAAGACCCUCAAUUCCCAUGUCAAGAAGUUUUGACUGUAGGCCUGUGAUUUUUGACCUUUAGUCUAUGUUGGGAUGCUUGUUAAUAUAGAUUCCUGGCAUCACCCCCCAGUUACCAAUUCACUCUGGAGUGAGACCCAACCAUGUUUGGUUUAUUUUAAUAAGUUUCUCUGGGUAAUUCUGAUGGGGAAUCAGAAUUGAGAGAAUAGUUGAAAGGGUCUGAACAGGAAAGUGGUACAGUAGUUCUGUCAUUUGUUCAGUAGCUUUUUUUUGAACGUGCCAGAAAAUUGUGAUUUGGUGAAUAAGAUAUACCCACCCUGCCCUUGUGGAACAUAGAAUCUUACAAAGAAGGCAGUACAUACACAAUCAUUUAAUUAAAGGACAAAACAACAACAACACCUUUUAGCCUAAGAACAGAAAGAAAUUUUUGCAAUCUGUAAUUGGUACCUACCAAGAAAACUACAGCAAAUGUUGUAUUUAAUGGUAAAACUUCAGAAAUUGCUCUUAAAGUCAGGCAGAAUUGCCCACAGUGACCAGUACUGGUCAGUAUUUUGGUGGUUCUUGCUUAUGCAGUUAGGUAAGGAACAGAAAUGGAUACUGGAAAGGAAGAGCCAAAACUCAUUAUCCUUCUUUGGUUUUGAACCUGUUGAGUUUGAGGUGCCCAUGAGAGCUGAUAAUGAAGGUGUCAGGUAGUUGAUUAGAAGUAUGUACUUUAGGGGCGCCUGGGUGGCUCAGUUGGUUAAGUGUCCGACUUCAACUCAGGUCACGAUCUCGCGGUCUGUGAGUUUGAGCCCCACGUCGGGCUCUGGGCUGAUGGCUCAGAGCCUGGAGCCUGCUUCCGAUUCUAUGUCUCCCUCUCUGUCUGUCCCUCCCCCGUUCGUGCUCUGUCUCAAAAAUAAAUAAAUGUUACAAAAAAAAAUUUUUUUUUAAAGUAUGCACUUUAGUUUUAUAAUUGUACAUGUAUUUUAUAUCUCCUGUAAUUUUUCUUUUGUUAAAUGUUUAUUUUUGAGAGAGAGUGAGAGACAGAACAUGAGCAGGGGAGGGGCAGAGAGGGGGACACACAGAUUCCGAAGCAGUCUCCAGGCUCUGAGCUGUCAGCCCAGAGCUCUAUGCAGGGCACGAACUCACAAACCAUGAGAUCAUGACCUGAGCUGAAGUCAGACACUUAACUGACUGAGCCACCGAGGCUCCCCUGUAUACGUACUUAUUACCUCCAGAAAGAAUGUUCUGGCCUCAUCCCUGCCACUGAGGGAUUUGUGGUCUGGGCACAUCCCUUCUCUUGUGAAUCCCCUUACUCCCUUCUCUGAUGUUUGCUGGACUUGAGUUCUGAGGCUCUGGUUUGUGAUUGAUAACAGUGAACAAAUUGAGUUGAGUGGGGAAGGAGUUACUGUUAGUUUUUAAGCAUUGAGAGUUCUGACUGGAUUGUGACUCAAGGAAGCAGUGUAAUCUGGAAAGGGCUCUGAAUGUGGCUCUUCAGGGCUGAGCUGGAACAAAGGGGUGAGGGUGGAGGCAAGCAUCUUAAGAAUAAAGGGUGGGGUAUGCUCUGAGAAGCACCUACUGACAGUGUUCCUUCUCUCUCUAGCCUCACCUGAGUUACCUUCCAUUGCUGUUCUGCGGGUUCCUGCCUCUGGACUUUGGCUCCCUCUGCCCCACCCAGCCAGGCAGCCAGUUGGCAGAGAACUGACUGGGAGUGAGUGGCUGAAUGCCCAGCUCUUCACCUGUGCCCAUCUCCUGAAUCUACAGUUACUUCAAACAUCUGCCAUGUUGUGCUGUCUGUCAGGCCUUAACGGCUCCUGACUGACCACUCUCUUUCCUGUACCACCCCCAUUAAAAGGCAGCCUGGCUAUUCUUGAAUGUGUUGUUUGGGGGCCUCCACCUGCAACCCUCCUUCCCUAGCAUUGUUCUGGGGGAAAGUGGGUAGGACACACACACACACACACACACCCCUCCCACCCACCCACCCCCACCCCCCCAGUCUCACAAUUUCCCACCCUCCUCCCGGGAUCAUCAGGAUGGGGGUUGAUGAUUGUCCCAGGGCAAGAGGAGGAAGCACUCUCUACUGUAGUUCUAGCCUUUUCCAUGCGACUUCAGUCUCCUACUUCUGGGGUUGAAGAGAUGAGAAUGUUCCAGCUCUCCUCUAGGCCCGAAUGAGGACCUGUAAGGGGUCUGGAACACCUGGCUUCAGGGCAGUCUUGUCUUCUUUGACCAAGGUGGAUGGAGAUUGCUGGCCUGGCUGCCAGGUGCCAUGGAGAUUCUCAGAAAACUGGCAGGCGCCUUCCCUUAGCUACAGUGCCUGUGGAGCCAGGAAGCGUCUGGAUGAGUCCUUUGUGGCUUGUGGGGGCGGCUCCUUCAGUCUCUUGCUGUGUGCGGGGCGGGGCCCCGCGAUGUUGGAGCAGCAUUGGCCAGUUACUGGUGGGUGGGGUCGGGUACGCAACCCCGCAGCAGCGGCUAGGGGGCGGGGCCUGCGUGCGGUGAGGUCACGACGCCGGCUCCUCCCAGCGCAAGUACGCAGGCCAGCGGAGUGCAGUCGCCGGCUCUGGGACCUUGGAGACCCGUGGCUCGCGUGGUGAGAGAGGAGGGUCGGGCCGGGGCGUGGCGGGACGACCGGGUCGCGUGCAGCUGACCCGCAUCUAACGGCUUCUCUUUGCAGACGAUGGGUGCUCGGCUGAGCGGCGGCCAGGGCGCCCCAGAGCCCGUGCAGGCCCAGCCCCAGCCCCAGCCCCAACCCGGGGCGCCCGAGGCCCCUGAUCGGCCCCAGCCUGAACCCAGUCCCUGGGGGCCACUGGACGAUGUGCGCUUCCUCAUCACCUGCACCUCCUGGUACUGACUCGACACCCUCCGCAGUUACUGCCAGCUGCCAACUGUCGUUGUGCUGUUAUGUUCCUCUGUUGUCCUUUUCCAACCCCGGCGCCCAGGACAGGCUCGGAGAGUCGAGGAGAUAGAUCACGGAGGACUGGAAGGAGGUCUCGGCAGGGCCUCUUCGGCAGCCUCGCCAUGGGGCACUGGCUCGCCUCUAGUUCCUUCCGAAUUUGUUCGCUUCUUAGCCUGCACCCAAACCAGCUUAAACCUUCGUGCUCACCCCCACCCUACAGCUUCUCCAGCCGUCUGGGUUCUGGGGCAGCCCUCCCUGGCCCUGGCUUCCAGAACCAGGCCAGGACUCCUGGUAAGACCCCAAGACUGCUGACCUCACCUCCUCUCGUCUGUUCCUUAUUGCUAAGAACCGGGCUGUUGCUUUUGUCCCUGGUUAUGGCACCAUGUGCCUUGGCUUCGGAGAAGACCUUGCCACCCACAGUGACCCUCCCUGUACUUCUCCUGGGGGGGGGGCUUGCUCUGCCAUCCUGGAUCCCAGUGAGGCAUUAUCAGGUUGUGUUCCAGGAACCCCAGUAACACUGGGCCUCUGGGGCCAGCCUUUUUGAGAGAGGGGACAUUUGAUUGCUGGGCUGGUAGAUGAGAUGCAUGGGACAGUUCCCAGACACCCCAAAGCACCCUGUUCCCCCUCUCCUAGAAGUUUCUUAAGGCCACUCCCAGAACCUGAUCCUUGUUCCUAUAUCCCAAGAAAACAACACACUCUGUAUUUUUGUUUUAUUUAGAAAUGAUUUAAAAAACAUUAUACAAAGGCUGAUCAGUUUAAAAUGUGACCGACACUGAAAUGCUGUGAUAUUCCCCGGGCCGAGGGGAAGCUGGGCUCUGGGGUCCCCAGUGCAGUGCCCCUUUGUCUGUCUGCCCUGUCCUGGGGUGAUGGACAAACAGAUGACCACAAGACAGGAGAAUCUGAGAUUGGAAGCCUCCAGGCUGAGCCCUCUCUGGGCCUGGCCCUGCAUCCCUCACAUCUGCAGCCUGAGCUGCCUGCCUCCAUCUCCUGCUCUUUCUCAGCUGGCCUUGGUAGUACCAGGAGCCAAUGGGGAGCCUGGGGAGCCUAGAGCUUUCAAAAAGAGAGAGCACCAACCUGAGGAGUGGAGAGGGACCGGGAAGGGGAGAAGGGAGGCCAGGAAAAGAUGGAUAAAAGAGACACUUCUGAUCUCAUCUUGGACCCUAGAGGGGUCCAUAGGUGGGGACCCAAGGCCCAGCCAGCCCACCCGAUGGCCUGGGCAAGAAACAAUCUCUCUGUGCUUCAUUUGAGGGCACGGUGAGAGUUACCCUAGGCUUCCCAGGGCCUGCACGAGUUUCAUGUGAGUGGACAGGUAUGAGCUAAUAAAGUGCUUUGCAAAGUAUAAAACACUAUACAAACCUAUGAAUCACUAAUAUCUCUGCAGUUGUUCCCCACCCACCCUAGGGAGCCCGCCCUUGGUCAAAAUGAGAAAAGACAGAAGGAUGAUGCCCGGGAACAUAGUGGACCCACAUAGGUGCCUCUGGGACAAGAGAGAUUUUGCUCAAGACAGCUCCCAGGGCAAUAGUAGUCCCUGUCUGCUACAGGUUAAGCCAACCCAAAGCCCAGAGGCCACAGGGUAGGGGCGAGACCCAUGCAGGCCCAGAGGGCCAGAGUGGCAUCGGAGACUCUGCCAGCACCCUGAAGAUGUACCACCUUUUGGCUUUGGCAGAGAGCCAGUGGGCAUCACUGAACCCAUUAGUCUUGCCUAGGGCUCUUCAGUGACAAACAGGGCUGCCUCCACUGGGUUGGAGUGAGGCAAGCUGAGCCCUAGCAAUUCCAGAGACUGUGAAGGAUGGGCCCCUAGGAUUGGGACUGCAAUGCAGGCAGAUGGGCCCAGUGAGCAGGGUUAGCAAGGGCCAAGCUUGUAUAAACACUGCUUCCAAGCUGAGAGAUUGAGUUGGCCUCAGGGUAACUGGGGGUGUGGGCUCUGAACACUUGAGAAGGCUGCCCUGGGCCCAUUACCCCCAAAGCCAUGAGAAUGUUGGCCUGGAGCCAUUUCUGCCUCACCUAGCUAGUCAGGCUGAGCCCCAGGCCAUAAGCAACAGGGCUGGGGACUGGGAGAAUGGGGAGAGGGACAGAGAAGUGGAGGAUAGUCAGAACUCAGAUCAGCCUCCAGAGAUGGGAUCAGCUCCUGCCCCAGACCUUUAGCCUCAUGAGCAGGUCCAGCUCCUGGGGUGUCUAGGCGCUAGAGUGGCCUUAGCAGCACCUUGGUCCUUGUCUCCUGGGGAAGGGCCGGCCACGCUGGCCUCAUCACCAAGAUAGUCACCUCUAAUUCACCUAACGCCUCAAACAGCCUUUGCAGAAUGGGACUUUUAAAACAGUAGUAACAGGACAUUUAAAUAUUCACGACAUGACAGCUGGGUCCUUGUCAGACCCUGCUGGGCCACAGCACUGCCUGCAACAUGUGACCCUAAAUCCUAGAUCUCAAAGGAGACCCUGAUGUGGAGCAGGUUUCCUGAGGGAUCUGCUGUAUGCCAGCAGCGGAAACCCGGGCUUGUUGCCCGCCAUGUUGGCAGCAGGGGUCUUGUAGCCUUGGAGGACAGUGGGGUGGGGGCAGGGGGACAUCUGACCAGCAGGUGUUGGCAAAGGGGGACCAGGAUUGGUGGCAUCUCCCAGAGGGGGCUGAGAGUGCUAGUGCUGGCUUCCACAGAAGGUGCUGGGUCCAGCCAGGAACAGAGCUGUGGUGCCUCAUUGAUAACCACAGGAUGCAGUGACCACAGGGCCUCCUCCUGGCAUGGUCCCUGCCUCCUGAUGGGGCCUGGCCUAUUCCCUUGCGUAGGGAGCAGUUCACCCAGGACAGAAGGCUGGCAACUGGCUGCCAGACACCCACCCUGGGGCACAGCCACCAUCACUCCCUGCCUCAUGCUCAGCCUAGGCCAAUGUACCUACCACUUCAGCUGCACGACCCCUGGCCUAGGGCCCUUCUGGCCCCGGUGGGCAGUGGCCAGAGCUGCCCCUGAGACCCUGAUGAGGAAGGGCCUGGCUGGCCAGACCGAGUGGACAGAGAGGGCUCUGGGCUGCUCACACCCACUCCUGGACUGGCCGCUUAUAGUAGGUGACAGGCUGAGGGCCUGCCUUGUUCUUGAACUGGAAGAUGGUGUAGACCAGCACCAGGAUGCAGAGGGACAAGAUGCAGGGGAUGACCACAGCCACGGCAUUCACAGAGCCUGGUACGUCAUUGAUGGUCACCAUGAUGUCCACAUCGUCCUGGGGCAGCCGCCGCUCCUUCCGCCGUUCCACCUCCUUCUGGUUGCAGCCCAUCCAGUCACGUAGGAUGUUGCGUGGAUAACCUGGCUCCACACUCAGUUUCUGGUUGUCAAACUUCCAGUAGUCCCGGCCCUUGUAGAAGUAGGUGUAAUCUGCAGAAACAUGGUCCAGCAUCACUACUCCCAGGUACUGCCCUGCACCUGCUCUGGGCCAGAGUGAGAGGGCAUAGGGUGCUGUGGCAGUGUGGAAGAAGGACGCCUCUCCCACCCUGGCGUCCCAGAGGAGCUUUGAAGGAGGGGUGGGCAUAUGAAGUGGUGGGAGCAGCGUGUUGGGUCGCUUGCAGGUGGGGGGAGGGCAGUGUGUAGCACACUCUGCCAACAGUGUGACAGGGUCUCGGAGUGUGACCUGCACGGUUGCAAAGAGGUGCGCCCAGGACCUGGAGCAGCCUGGCCUGUCAUCUCACAGGUGCCAGGAAGCCACUGAGGGGCUUUAAGUAGAAUUGAUAAGUUCAAUUUGUGCCUCCCUACCUUAUAACCCUCCCCUCCACCCGCCCAUGUUGGUGAGAUCAAGCUCCCAACUAUGGCUUGGACAGCACUGCCUUCAUAGCUCUAGAGCCUCAGUCUAGCUUCUGUUUGAGGCAAGGGAGGCAGGGAGCCAGGUUUCUCCUUUGGUUGACAGCGGACACCACCUUUUCACAGUUGUGGCUUUUCUUUGGCUUGCAUCACAACACAGAUGCAAGGUCUCUGGGACACUGCUGGGGAAGAGGCUAGAAAGAAAGGAGGUGGAGACUGGGGCACCUGGGUGGCUCAGUCAGUGAAACAUCUGACUCUUGGUUUCGGCUCAGGUCAUCAUCUCACAAUUCAUGAGUUUGAGCCCCUCAUCGGGCUCUGUGCUGAUAGCCUGGAUCUUGCUUGGGAUUCUCUCUCUCUCCCUCUCUCUUUGCCCCUCCCCUACUCACACUGUCUCUAUAUCUCUCAAAAUAAAUAAACUUGAAGAAGAAGAAGAAGGAGGAAGAGGAGGAGGGGGAGGAGAAGGAGAAGGAGAGGGAGAAGAAGGAAGAGAAGAAGAAGAAGGAAAAGAAGAAGGAGGAGGAGGAGGAGGAGAAGGAGAGGGAGAAGAAGGAGGAGAAGAAGAAGGAAAAGAAGGAGGGGGGGGGAGGAGGAGGAGGAGGAGGAGGAGAAGGAGAAGGAGAAAGGAGGUGGAGGGGCUGGGCAGCCACACCAGGCUCCCAGCAACAGCCUUCAUGGCCCAGACAGUGUACAGACAGCAAAGCAACUCAGACUCUCCUAUUGGUUGGCUCCCCACUCUGGGACUUUCAUUGGCCAAAGUCCUUGAUGUCACUUGUUUCUGAGGCUCCCAGAAAGCAAGACCAUGUGUGUAAAGCAUCAGGUACACAGGAGAGCCAUCAGUAGCAGCUCUUCCCCCGAGACUUUUGGCUUUCUUACCAGUGACAUCUCCUUAGAGAGCCCUUCCUGACGAACCCUCUCUAACGGGCCCUCCCCAGCACCCCCCACCCCCACCCCCACCAUAGCUCUUCGGCUGCAUUUCUUUCCCUUAGAACAUUUGCUGCCACCUUAGUUGUUUUCUGCCUCUAGAAUGGGAGCCAGGGAUGCAAUGCAAGUCUUAUUCUCUGCUCCUUCCCCAGCUCUCCCACAAAACUUGGCUCUCAGUAAUCAUUGUGGAGGGAAUGGAUGACACCUGUCAUUCUACAAAAACUAAAACACACCAACAAGAUGAUGAUGAUGAUGAUGAUAGCAGCUAACUCUCACUUGGCAUGGAUCAUGUGCUAGGCAUUGGUCUAAGUGCUCUACUUAAUUUACCUUAGUCUUACAAAUCCCAAUGAGGUAGGUACCAUUAUUAUCCCCAUCUGAUAGAUGAAGACAUAGAAAACUUAAAUGGUUUGCUCAAACUCAUAGUAAGUGGUGGAGGCGGGAUGUGAAGUCAGCCAGCCUCCAGAGUCUGUAUUUUUGACCAGAUCAUGGGAAAUGUAUUUAACAAACAUUCAUGGAUUCCUGCACCUGGCAACACCCAGCCCCUCUUCUUGAGAAGCUUCUAGUCUGCUGGGAAGCUCCCAGCCUGGCCUCCAGGAGGAGCUUAGAAAAUGUCUCAUAAAUAAAAAAGGCUUCUCUUUCCAUCUUCCUGCCCUCAAGCCUUGUUUAAAAAAAAAAAAAAAAACACCUUUGAAAGCACCUGUAUCCAUCAUUGCUUUUCAGAUUUGAUAACUCGAGGAAGCCCUAGAGUACAUCUGAGGUCCACUAUUUGAGAAAUGCUGUCUGAAAGAGUGAAGUCAGUCUAUGAAAACAUCUCUCAAAUGUGAGUCAUGUCUGCAGAUGAGAGCCUGGCUUGGUAGCUG
rnacentral:lncRNA from 1 species